rnacentral:rRNA from 1 species
UGUUUCGGCUAGGGGGCCAUCCCGGCUUACCAACCCGAUGCAAACUGCGAAUACCGGAGAAUGUUAUCACGGGAGACACACGGCGGGUGCUAACGUCCGUCGUGAAGAGGGAAACAACCCAGACCGCCAGCUAAGGUCCCAAAGUCAUGGUUAAGUGGGAAACGAUGUGGGAAGGCCCAGACAGCCAGGAUGUUGGCUUAGAAGCAGCCAUCAUUUAAAGAAAGCGUAAUAGCUCACUGGUCGAGUCGGCCUGCGCGGAAGAUGUAACGGGGCUAAACCAUGCACCGAAGCUGCGGCAGCGACACUGUGUGUUGUUGGGUAGGGGAGCGUUCUGUAAGCCUGCGAAGGUGUCCCGUGAGGGAUGCUGGAGGUAUCAGAAGUGCGAAUGCUGACAUAAGUAACGAUAAAGCGGGUGAAAA